UUGCUUCAACAGCACAUGUACUAAAAAUGGAACAACAGAGAGAAGAUUAGCAUGGCCCCUGUGUAAAUCUGGGUCUGUUAGACAUUCACCUCCUGUGU
rnacentral:snRNA from 1 species